UGGUGGGUUGCCUUGUCAGGUUGAUUCCGGUAACGAACGAGACCUCAGCCUGCUAAAUAGUCAGCAUCGUCUUUACGGGCGGUGUUCAGGCUUCUUAGAGGGACUAUUGGCGUUUAGUCAAUGGAAGUAUGAGGCGAUAACA
rnacentral:rRNA from 1 species